rnacentral:lncRNA from 1 species
CCAAAAUAAUUUCAUUAAGAAUUUAACCCUUAAUAACCACUUGCUUUAGGGCUUUGGACAGACAAGAGGGUUAAGGAUAUGAUCAUGACCUCAAACAAAACUAACCUAGAUUUCAAAUAUGGACCCUGCAACUCGUUACACGGGACAAACAUGCCAUUUAGAAUGGGAUAACUAUUUCUAAAGCAUAUCACCCUUAAGAACCUCAUGCUUAGGGGAGUGGAUAUGAAUGAAGAGAAAAUAAUCUCGGGUCACUCAUGGACUAUGUUAAAUAAAAAUCUAUAUCGAUCAGUCUAUCAUUAUCUCGACACGUAUUAUUUCGAAGUAUAAAAUAUGAACAAGUUCAACUUAUAAAUCGAC